CAAUUUUUGUUUUCUUUUUUUUUUAUCAAAUUUUGCUUUUUAUUUGUAUUCAUACACUUCAACGUCAUGUCAAAAUCUCGGAUAAGUGGUACUACAUUAGACUAAUCCAGAAGGAAAAAAAUAUACCUACACAUAUGUAAAUAUCUAUAAGAGCCAUAUUCCCAGAUAAAGGAUAUCCUUGGAUCUACACAAAAGAAAAUAUCAAAAAAUAUAAAAAAGAAACAAAAAACUAACUAUGCGAAGAAAGAAAAUCUAAAAUCUGGAGUUCAUCCCUAGGGAUGAAUAUAUUAGGGAUACUCGUCGUACAGUUGUAUGUCAGACUCAGAACAUAAAGAAAAUAAAAUUCUUUAAAAAACGAAACAAAACUGAAAUUGAAACAGCAUCAGCAUAUCUUUUGGUUACAAUUGCGGAAAUGAAUAUCCUUGAGAGUUUUCUUUGCAGCCCAGAUUGGUGAUGGUGAUGAAAUGUUGGUCCGAUUCCGAUUUUAUUUUAUGUCCCAUAGAAUAUUCCUGGAGUUUUCAAGAUAUGCGUUUCUGUGUUGAAUGUUACUUUUAUCCACAAAGGAGCUCAACGAGCGACGAACUAAGAAGAAAUUGAACAAAAGUUACUUUGUUCUCGGUGAUGGAAUUGAAAAAAAAGGAAGAAAUAGAAAGGAAACAUAGAUUCAUAACAUUGAGGUGAGGCGUUGUACUAUGGGGUAGUUAUAGCUACACACUACACAGCCAGUCCUGGUAUAGUAUACUCGUAGUAUACCCAUUUCAUCAAGGAUGUGAGGUGAUUGAUCGAUGGGCAAGUGUAUUUGUCCCACAGCGGCGGCGGUGGAAGCGGUGGUGAUGGCGUCUCCUGUGACAUCCUAUAUAGAGACUUUGGGGGAGGAAGAAUUAUAUGACGAGCGACGUGCGGCCUCGUUUUAGCUAUGCAUGUCGGACGGGCUGUUGUAUGGCUAUGAUGUAGCUAUAAGAUGCCGCAAGACCGCAGGACAAAAAUUUGAUGGGUGAUGGUUAUGGUGGUGACGGCUGGCAGUUUGUGACAUAUAGAAAUUUUGGAUAUAAGAAACGAGGAAAAAAUAAGAAUUGAAAAGGUAUAAAAAGGGUUAUGGCUUUUUAUUUUUCUUUGGGUUCUAUUUAUAUUUUUUUUACGAAAUUCAAUUUGAAAUUGAGUUGAUGAAACAUUAAGAAGGUCAAUAUGCGCUCAGCAAAGGGGUUGAUGGGAGAAAUACGAUGAUUGAAAACACGUGUAUGUGAUGAAUGAUUGAUUUUUUUCCUCAGUCUUUUUUUUUUAUUCCAAUCAUGCAUAAAUAAUAGGCUGCUAUUGCGUAUACUGAAUAUUCCUGAAAAAUGACUUAGGUACUUAGGUGCUGUUUUUAUAAG